GGGUAGUUUGACUGGGGCGGUCUCCUCCCAAAGAGUAACGGAGGAGCACGAAGGUUAGCUAAUCACGGUCGGACAUCGUGAGGUUAGUGCAAAGGCAUAAGCUAGCUUGACUGCGAGAGUGACGGCUCGAGCAGGUACGAAAGUAGGUCUUAGUGAUCCGGUGGUUCUGAAUGGAAGGGCCAUCGCUCAACGGAUAAAAGGUACUCCGGGGAUAACAGGCUGAUACCGCCCAAGAGUUCAUAUCGACGGCGGUGUUUGGCACCUCGAUGUCGGCUCAUCACAUCCUGGGGCUGAAGUAGGUCCCAAGGGUAUGGCUGUUCGCCAUUUAAAGUGGUACGCGAGCUGGGUUUAGAACGUCGUGAGACAGUUCGGUCCCUAUCUGCCGUGGGCGUUGGAAGAUUGAGAGGGGCUGCUCCUAGUACGAGAGGACCGGAGUGGACGAAUCACUGGUGUUCGGGUUGUCAUGCCAAUGGCAUUGCCCGGUAGCUAAAUUCGGAAGAGAUAACCGCUGAAAGCAUCUAAGCGGGAAACUUGCCUCGAGAUGAGUCUUCCCUGGGGCUUUAAGCCCCCUGAAGGAACGUUAAAGACUAUGACGUUGAUAGGCUGGGUGUGUAAGUGCAGCGAUGCAUUGAGCUAACCAGUACUAAUGAUCCGUGAGGCUUAACCU
rnacentral:rRNA from 1 species